AUUGAAACUUCGGUCGAUUUAAUUUAAUUCUAGUGGCGGACGGGUGAGUAACGCGUGGGUAACCUGCCUUAUACAGGGGGAUAACAGUCAGAAAUGGCUGCUAAUACCGCAUAAGCGCACAGAGCUGCAUGGCUCGGUGUGAAAAACUCCGGUGGUAUAAGAUGGACCCGCGUUGGAUUAGCUAGUUGGUGGGGUAACGGCCCACCAAGGCGACGAUCCAUAGCCGGCCUGAGAGGGUGAACGGCCACAUUGGGACUGAGACACGGCCCAGACUCCUACGGGAGGCAGCAGUGGGGAAUAUUGCACAAUGGGGGAAACCCUGAUGCAGCGACGCCGCGUGAAGGAAGAAGUAUCUCGGUAUGUAAACUUCUAUCAGCAGGGAAGAUAGUGACGGUACCUGACUAAGAAGCCCCGGCUAACUACGUGCCAGCAGCCGCGGUAAUACGUAGGGGGCAAGCGUUAUCCGGAUUUACUGGGUGUAAAGGGAGCGUAGACGGUGUGGCAAGUCUGAUGUGAAAGGCAUGGGCUCAACCUGUGGACUGCAUUGGAAACUGUCAUACUUGAGUGCCGGAGGGGUAAGCGGAAUUCCUAGUGUAGCGGUGAAAUGCGUAGAUAUUAGGA
rnacentral:rRNA from 1 species